CCCGUUGAACUCAAUUAUCCGAGCGCCGAUAUUCACCCGGGGGCUAACCCCCCCCGGGGCACUUAUCGCGCGCAGCACGCGGACAUCGCGAUCCAUUACGGGAAGCGCGCGAGCGACUCGAACGCAUCGUAACCAGCAACCCUGGCCCCUGGCUCGCGUGGUCGACCUCCCAUUCGUAGCGGCGUUCAGUUCUGAAGGCCUUCGCCGCGAACGGAGGAUGGCGGACCACCGGUCUUCGGACCGGCCCGCCGCAUCGACCGAGCCCCGGUGUGCCGUCUGGUAGCGUGAUGGACUCCACAGCGAAACGGGUCGGCCGGGUCCAGCGCGUAUGGGUUCCGCCCAUACACCGCCACCUGGCCACGGGCAAUCCAGCCCGGGCAGUAACAUGCGGCCCCGAUCGGCGAUGCAGAACAAACCGAAUUGAGGUACCUCCGGG
rnacentral:rRNA from 1 species